rnacentral:rRNA from 1 species
GAUGAAUGCUGGCGGCGUGCCUAAUACAUGCAAGUCGAGCGCAGGAAAUCGACGGAACCCUUCGGGGGGAAGUCGAUGGAAUGAGCGGCGGACGGGUGAGUAACACGUAAAGAACCUGCCCUCAGGUCUGGGAUAACCACGAGAAAUCGGGGCUAAUACCGGAUGGGUCAUCGGACCGCAUGGUCCGAGGAUGAAAGGCGCUUCGGCGGCGCCUGGGGAUGGCUUUGCGGUGCAUUAGCUAGUUGGUGGGGUAAUGGCCCACCAAGGCGACGAUGCAUAGCCGACCUGAGAGGGUGAUCGGCCACACUGGGACUGAGACACGGCCCAGACUCCUACGGGAGGCAGCAGUAGGGAAUCUUCCACAAUGGACGAAAGUCUGAUGGAGCAACGCCGCGUGAACGAUGAAGGCCUUCGGGUCGUAAAGCUCUGUUGUAAGGGAAGAACAAGUGCCGCAGGCAAUGGCGGCACCUUGACGGUACCUUGCGAGAAAGCCACGGCUAACUACGUGCCAGCCGCCGCGGUAA